CAUAGAGAACUCCGCAUUAAAUG
rnacentral:piRNA from 1 species